GUCAAUGUGAGAUGACUUGUAAGUUGUGGGAGUUGAGGUGAUACAAUAGGAGUGAAAGGGUGAAAGUGUUAUUUGUGCUAUAUAAGUCAAAAAAAAAAGGGGAGCAGGAGAUUAUUUUUUUCUCUUUUCCUUUCCUUUCUUUUCUUCUUCUCCGGCGUCUCUCUCGGCUCUGACCUCUCACCUUCUCUCUUCGAUUUCAUCGACCACGAGUGAGACUUUUGAAAAAUCCCAAGUACUAAAGUUGUUCUACGCGACGAGAGCUUCCUAUCCAUCGAAGAAAAUUCACGAUCGGAGCACUUCGAAGUUUCCUCCAUGUUCGGGCUUGCUUCUAACCUUCGAGGUACUCGCCAUGGCACUUAGCUUGGAUUGCAUGGAGUGCACAUUGAGACGUCUCUUGAGAGCUUCAUUGGUAUCAUAAAGGAAGUGUUUAUCAUCUAGUCUAAUUCAUGUUGUGUACUUUACUCGAAAUGGAAAGUUGUACUUUUUGAUUAGAAUAUAUGUAAAGCUAUGUGUGAAUUCCUCUCCUUGAUCAUUAUGGAACUCAUUUAAUUGUAAACGUUUGGGAGACUUUAUGUAAAAAAAAAUUUAGAGAGAA